rnacentral:tRNA from 1 species
GCGGAUGUAGCCAAGUGGAUCRAGGGCAGUGGGAUUGUGAUCACCCUGGCGCCGGGGAAAAAGAAA